UGCCUUACACAUGCAAGUCGAACGGUAACAGCACUUCGGUGGCUGACGAGUGGCGAACGGGUGAGUAAUACAUCGGAACGUGCCCGAGAGUGGGGGAUAACGCAGCGAAAGCUGUGCUAAUACCGCAUACGAUCUACGGAUGAAAGCAGGGGACCGCAAGGCCUUGCGCUCAUGGAGCGGCCGAUGGCAGAUUAGGUAGUUGGUGGGGUAAAGGCCUACCAAGGCGACGAUCCAUAGCUGGUCUGAGAGGAUGAUCAGCCACAUUGGGACUGAGACACGGCCCAGACUCCUACGGGAGGCAGCAGUGGGGAAUUUUGGACAAUGGGCGCAAGCCUGAUCCAGCAAUGCCGCGUGCAGGAUGAAGGCCUUCGGGUUGUAAACUGC
rnacentral:rRNA from 1 species